ACUUUUUAUAUCAUCGUUAUAAAUACAUAAUGCCCUGAAGCUUUGGGGUGCAAUGAUAGAUCGUCGCCUCCUCCGGUUUUAGACGAUUGUGGAUCUAUUAACCUGCAGAUGGCUAAACUACCGUUUAUCUAACUAUCGAUCUCUUGGCCCGGUUACACGCAAUCCCAAAUAAUGUCCAGCCUUGUCAUUUUUUUUUUUCAUGCUUAAAAUAUUAUUUAAUGAUGAAAUUAUUAUUCUUUUCAUAACUUUUUAUUUAUUUUUGGAACUCGUAUACCCACUAGAUAUUGAGUAAGGUGUAUUUGUUGUGGUCAUUCC